CUCUGUUCCCAUUAGGAAAAUGAACACACUGCGGACCUAAUCAUUGAGCAGAAAUUCCACCGGACCAUCAUUGGGCAGAAGGGUGAGCGGAUCUGGGAAAUCCGGGAGAAAUUCCCAGAGGUUAUCAUCAGCUUCCCAGACCCUGCACACAAGAGUGACAUCGUCCAGCUCCGAGGUCCCAAAAAUGAGGUGGAGAAGUGCACCGAGUACAUGCAAAAGAUGGUGGCAGACCUGGUUGAAAACAGCUUUUCUAUUUCUGUCCCCAUCUUCAAACAGUUCCACAAGAACAUCAUAGGGAAAGGAGGUGCCAACAUCAAGAAGGUGAGAUAUUGUUCCUAACUCAAGUGCUCGUGAUGAUCACUGCCUGCAGCAAAAUCCCACUGGAUGCUCUCUCCUGCUCAUUGGUGAUGUCCAAUAUAGCCUGCAAGGGCUUUUCUUCUGACAUGGGACACUUCUGAGAUGAUUUUUUUUUUUUUUCCUUUGUGGCAGAUCUGUAAAGAAAGCAACACCAAAAUUGAUCUCCCAGCAAAGAACAGCAACUUGGAGACGAUUGCUAUCACAGGCAAGAGGGCAAACUGUGAGGCUGCUUGCCACAGGAUUCUUGCCAUCCAGAAGGAGCUGGCCAACAGCACAGAGGUGGAGGUCUCUAUUCCUUCCAAACUGCACAGUUCCCUCAUUGGUGCCAAAGGCCACUUUGUCCGCUCCAUCCUGGAGGACUGUGGUGGAGUCCACAUCCACUUCCCCACCAAGGGCUCUGGCAGUGACACCGUGACCAUCAGGGGCCCAGCCCAGGGUGGGGAGAAAGCCAAGAAACAGCUGCUGCACCUGUGAAACAGCUCAAGGUCUUAAU